rnacentral:ncRNA from 1 species
CAGAGUAGGCAUCGUGCAUAAAGUGCCGCGGGAUGGGAAGUCGCCCGCGGACGAAAAACCCUCGAGGUUUGUGACACUGUGCCGCGUCCGCUG